rnacentral:tRNA from 1 species
GAGCAUAUAGCUCAGUGGUAGAGCACAUGCUUAGCAUGCACAAGGUCCUGGGUUCAACCUCCAGCAUCUCCA